GCCUUAGUAGCUUAAUCAACAAAGCAUUGGUCUUGUAAGCCAAAGAUGAGAAUUAAAAUUCUCCUAAGACAUCAA
rnacentral:tRNA from 1 species